rnacentral:rRNA from 1 species
CCAAGGAGUGCAACAUGCGUGCGAGUCUGUGGGUUGUCAGACCCGUCGGCGCAAUGAGAGUGAAAGGGACAUUCGUCCGCCGAGGCAGGAGCCGUGGUAAAUGCUAGCGGCCCACUGUUGACCGAUCCCGUACCACGCUGUGGUGGGAUUCGAGUGAGAGCGUGCCUGUUGCGACCCGAAAGAUGGUGAACUAUGCCUGAAUAGGGCGAAGCCAGAGGAAACUCUGGUGGAGGCUCGCAGCGGUUCUGACGUGCAAAUCGAUCGUCAAAUUUGGGUAUAGGGGCGAAAGACUAAUCGAACCAUCUAGUAGCUGGUUCCCUCCGAAGUUUCCCUCAGGAUAGCUGGAGCCCGUGAGCAGUUUUAUCAGGUAAAGCGAAUGAUUAGAGGUCUUGGGGUUGAAACAACCUCAACCUAUUCUCAAACUUUAAAUGGGUAAGAAGUYCGGCUUGCUCGGUUUGAAGUCGGACGYUGGAAUGCUUGGGCUCCCAGUGGGCCAUUUUUGGUAAGCAGAACUGGCGAUGCGGGAUGAACCGAACGCCGGGUUAAGGUGCCCGAAUUGACGCUCAUCAGAUACCAUGAAAGGU